rnacentral:rRNA from 1 species
UACGUAGGGGGCAAGCGUUGUCCGGAUUUAUUGGGCGUAAAGAGCUCGUAGGCGGCUCCGUAAGUCGGGUGUGAAACCUCCAGGCUCAACCUGGAGACGCCACCUGAUACUGCUGUGGCUAGAGUCCGGUAGGGGAGCGUGGAAUUCCUGGUGUAGCGGUGAAAUGCGCAGAUAUCAGGAGGAACACCAGCGGCGAAGGCGGCGCUCUGGGCCGGAACUGACGCUGAGGAGCGAAAGCGUGGGUAGCAAACAGG